AAUCCACCUGGUCCACUCUCUGAGUCUACAGUAUGACUGGUCCGCCCGCACCGGGCCUUCAGUCGGCCUGGUCCACUCUCCGAGCCUCGGCACGUCUGGUCCGCCCUCUUGGGGCCUACAGCCUAUCCGGACCGCUCGCUGGGCCUUCGGAACAACCGGUCCGCCCUGGGUAUCUUGGCCUACAGCACAAAGCAGGACCCGCCUCAACCCAACUCCAGUCCAAACAACCAUGUGCACAUAUACAUACAAUCAUAUAGCAAUUCACAGUCAACAAGCAGAUCAAACAGAUCACAUAACAUAUCAUCAUCCUAACCAGGAUACCGACCUAACAGGUCACUAGCAUAGCAUCUCCCUAUCUCUCAGGAUACCGAUCUCAAUCAGGUCUCUAACAUAUACCAUCCUAGCUCUCAGGAUGCAAACAUAUCAUAGCAACAACAUAACAACAACUACCCGGAUCUCAAUCCGAUAAGGGCCGGCCUUGGUGCCUUAGACCCUGUUGAUAUAGUGAGGAUAACUCACCUCGAAACUGCCGGCUGAAAGGAUAAGAUCCCGCUGCUCCAAGCUCCGACACGAACUCCUCCACUGAACACCAACACACUCAACUCAAUAAAUACCCUUAAUUACCAAAAUACCCCUGAAAGACAACUGGUCAACCUUUGGACAAGGUCAAAGUCAACCCCUGACUGACUCUACUCGCCGAGUCAACCCGAUGACUCGCCGAGUCCCCAUACUCAGAACUUCCCUCAAUCCGCGACCUAACUCGCCGAGUCACCCCGAGACUCGUCGAGUCCAACAACUCUGAGUCCACUCGCCCACAACUCACCGAGUCAUCCCUUGACUCGCCGAUUCUCGACUCAACCAGAAAAUAUUGGGACUCUUCGACAAGACUCGCCGAGUCCAAGAACAGACUCGCCGAGUCUAAGGCUAUCUUCAACCUACUCGCCGAGUUGUUCAUACAACUCGCCGAGUUCCAGGCCAUCUUCAUCCAACUCGCCGAGUUGUUCUUCCAACUCGUCGAGUUCCAGCUCAUCUUCAAGCAACUCGUCGAGUCCACCCAUGUGACUCGCCGAGUACCACCGGUCUGAAUCCAUACAGAAGCAUUCCAGGCCAUGCAAUUGAUCCAAAACAUAGAUCUAGCCUCCUACAACCCAUCCAUCAUGUAAAGUGGCAAACUUUACAUGAAUCCAAAGAGAUCUAUGCAUUUUGCACAUUAGGGCUAAGGUUUGGGACAUGAUAGCUUCACCCAACACUCAACACAGGGACUUUAUGCACAUUAGGACCAUCACCACUCCAGAUCUGAGGUAGCAACCUCAGAUCUAACUUCCAAACUCCAAAACAUACCAAGAUAAGCUCCCCACAAACCCCAAAAUGAUGAAUCCAUAAGAGUAACAGCCCAAGGACGAGAUAUUACCUCAAAAGAACGCCCCAACUGCAAUGGAACUCGAAUCCAAGCAAAGCCCCUUGCUCCAAGCCUCCUACCCUUCAAGAUUUCCUCAACAAUUGCUUCUCCAAGCUCCCAAAUGCAACUUGAUCCACUCACAUACGAAGGUUAGGGUUUCUGGACUUGAGGAUGAGUAAAGAGGCUGGGGGAAUGGAUGUUAUGUUCUUUAUAUAGGGCUCAACCCCGAGAAUUAGGGUUUUCUCCACUCAGCGCCUACUCGCCGAGUCCAUCUUACUGACUCGCCGAGUCGGCUACUUAACACGCGACCAAGUCGCGACUCUACUCGCCGAGUCCACCCAUGGACUCGCCGAGUCGCUCUUUCCCAAUUUACUCUUUUAGCCCUUCAACUCUACUCUUGAUAUUUCGGGAUGUUACAAUUCUCCCCCACUUAAAUUAGGCUUCGUCCUCGAAGCCUACGGCAACUCAACUCCAAAAUACUCCCCCGACGCGCCACCUGGCCCUAACCGGACCAGGUUCCUCAAGGCAUAACCAUCAAAACUCGAACUCAUUUCCUCUAUCCUUGCGUUGUCUAGACCACCGUCUCAAACAGGGCACCGGCUGUACCCUCUGAUAAUCACACUCAACAAUCAAGAAUUACCCAAGAUGCAUCACUGCACCAAAUCACAACCAUCACUCGACCCAUAUGAGCUAGAAAACCAUGAACCAUCGGAUCCCCGAUCCGAAUCCCACUCUAUCCAUUCCAUGCUGACGGAAAGACCCAUUCUUCAAUCUCAGAGCAACUCCCACGAGUUCUCCUCUUGCAAUCACAUACACAUGCUGAACUAGCUCUAGCACCCUCAGGUUGGGAAAACCCGAUACACUGAUGAUAUCCUCAAACAUCCCCCAGGAUGAACCACUAAUACAUACCCAAUUCCCUGAUCAGAAUCACACUGAGAGCCCAAGACUCUCUCCCUGCAUCCCUUCCGAGCCUCUUGGCUCUACACCUGCGGAAUUCCCUCCGCGACCUCAGCAGACAUCCCAAACCGGAUGUGCUUCUAUUACACUACCGCAAACACGCUGCUCAAUAACCAUACUCGAAUUGCUCUAAUCAUAACUCUGCUCUGCCGCUUUCACUUUCGUGAACUUGCACUCCCUCUCGGAGUUACACACCUCUCUCUUUUCCUUUACCAAGGAAUCCACUUGGCCACACUGCCACUCCGACAAGUGCCACGGUGCUUGCCCAACGCUACACCACCCUUUUAUAGCGUAUCCGCUAUCCAUCCAACACACAUACUCUGACUCUCAUCGCAGGGACUCUCAAGCCCAUGCACUAUCUCAACUAAUCAAGAUCACUACCCGGGGCCAGACCUUCUAAUGCAAUCACACUGCAACAUACACAAUCCAUAUCCUCGAACCGAUCCAACAAUACCUGUAGAGUCUUCAGCAUGACAGGACCGCCUCACCAGGCCUUCAGCCAAUCUGGACCACUCUCAGAACCUUCAGCCAAUCUGGACCGCUCUCAGUGCCUUCAGUUAGGCUGGACCGUUCUCCGAGCCUUCGGCAUGACUGGUACGCCUACCGGCCUUCAGUCUAUCCGGACCGCUCAACUAGCAUUCAUCAUUCCGAGCUAUCUCUCCCGGAAAUCCUCCCAUGCAUGCUGUUCUAGCCCUUUAAGGGUUCCGAACUCUGUCUCAAUCACACAUGCUCGAUCUCGGCCUGCUCCCAGGCCCUCCACAAUCGAAUACCCUAGGUAUGUAUUCCACCCCGCAUGCCCGACACUUGCUCCUACCAGCCUACACUCUGGACUGACGGAACACUGCUGAAUCCCAACAGCUAAGCACCCUCAAAUAAUCCUCGAUCUCCCAGAGAAUUUUCCAAUUCUCCCCCAUUUGUAGCACUGAUUAACAACCACCGGUUGCCAUCAUCGACCUCCCAGAACAACUCUACACAAAACCAACACUUACACGCGGACUGAUUUACACAGGCAUAAACAACCUUGACAAGAUCCCACAUCAACACUGAUAACCCGCUCGAAAGAAAUUCAACCUGCAUCUAACCACUCCUCAGAAAGCAGAUGCUACCCGGCCUUCAACCCAAUGUCAGGUUUCCACUAAUAACCUUCAUGGAUGAUAACCAAUGAAAUUCCCAAAACAAUAACCUAUAACCAACCCAAAACUCUCAAAACGACGAAUACCGCAUCGAAAACCACACAAAGAUACCAGCACAUAAACAAAACACCACAAAAAUCACAAGAUAACAAGAUAUCAAGAAAUAAACAUACCCGCAGCUGCAUUUGGCACUGCUCUGACCUCUUCUGCCGCAAGCUGAUAAGCAUGACCCUGAGCCCUUGGGGGCUCCGCUCCACCCUGACCUCCGCCUGUGAUCCUCAAAGUGGCCGGUGCUGGAGCCUGCACCGGUCCUGCAGCAAGCUGUGGACAGUUGACCCUCAAAUGUCCAACCUGAUGACAAUGAUAACAAAUCCUCAAAUCCCGAACCGGCGCUGACUGCCGACAAUCCCUCGCAUAGUGCCCCUCCUUUCCGCACUUGCGGCAUGCACCACCGGACCUACAAACUCCGGUGUGACCCCUCCCACACUUCCCACAAGUGUAGCUGCUCAGAUCCCCCACUCUAACAUCAACGGUCUUGGACCGUUUCAGCACCGGCUGUGACUGCACCGGAGCCUGCCUCAGCUCACGCAAUUGCAACUCAAUCUCUAACUCACGCCGCCUAGCGGCCUCCUGCAACUCCAACAAGGUAUUGCACCUCUGGGUAGACACAAACUGUCUGAUAUCUCUCUUGAGCAUGCUCAGAUAUCAAGACAUCUGAGCCUUCUCCGAAGCGAACUCUGGGCAAAACAUUGCCCUCUCAGUGAACAUCCUGGUGAUCUCAGUCACCAACUCCGAACCCUACUUCAGCUCAAGGAACUCCUGAGCCAAUCUAUCCUUCUCAACUUGCGGAACAUAACGAGUGCUGAACAUCUCCCUGAACUGAUCCCAUGAAACCGCAGCCCUCUACACAUCCGAAUAUGACCCCGUGGUCAAUCUCCACCAAUCCUUCGCCCCGAGCCUCAACAGGUUUAGAGCACACCUCACCCUCUGAUCAGCAGGGCAUGAACACGUGAAGAAACACCCCUCCACAUCCGAUAACCAUCUCAUAGCAACAAUCGGGUCCUGAACUCCAUCAAAGGUGGGAGGCUUCGUAUUAUCGAAGUCCCGAUACUGAAAACCCCGACCAGCUCCUCCCCCUGCCGCUGCUACAGCCGUUGUAGCCGCCACGGCAGCCGUCUCUGUGAGAGCUGCAUAGCGCUCAUCAAAAUACUCAACCAUGGCGGUCUUGAUCGACCCAUACAGCUCCGACAACUCAGCCCGGAACAACUCAGCAAUCUCCUCAUGCAGGAUCUCAUGAAUCCUCGCAUCCAACUCGCACAUACUCAUCUGACCGAUAACCUCGGGCGGUACUAACCCGCCCGGAACUCCCUCUCCUGCUCUCGAUCCUAAUCCGGAUCCACUCUCAUCAUGCCUCGGAAUCUCCAUACUGAAAAAAAUAACACCACACAAAAUCUCAGACUCUUCCCACUAUCCUGGGAUCCAACUCUCUCAACCCAACCCUAGAGAUCAUGGUUUCCCUGAUACGCGUAUGGGUCCUGUGCUUUCAGUAGUACGGGCCCAUACUACCUUCCACACCUACCCAUAUUUGUAUGAAGUACUACCACAACACCCUAGAGAAACAUGCAUAACAACGCUCAACCCUCACCACUAGAGGAACACUGAAAAUCUCCCAUAAGGAACCCUAGGCUACAGGCAUCACAAAUCAGGCAACAUUAUCAUGAAAUCCUGAAGAUCCCUAGCCUAUCACUAGCAUGUUGUUCUAUCAAAGCUCAAAAACAAAUAACAUGCAUGGUAUUUUGGGGUUACUUACUGGCUCCGGCUGAUCGUACCUCCGCGUCCUCCCUUACUCAUUUUGAAAACCAUUUUAAAUACUCUUUUGAAAACUCUCCUCGAUUUGAGACUGGAGUCACACGAGUGUUCCUCCAAUUCACUCAAACCAAGGCUCUGAUACCAACUUGUAACGACCGAAAAAUACAACCAAUUUUAAAUUUUUCAAAAAAAGCUCGAUUCCAUUAAAUCUUUACAAAAAGGUUUUCAAUACAAAACAUUUAACGUAUUCCCAGAAUCACAUUACUACAAAAUCAUGAGGAGCGGUACGAUCACGCCUUCGCCUUGCCACGGUCUCCUGAAGAACCUGAAAAACAUAAAACCACAACUGUAAGCCCGAAAGCUUAGUGAGAUAUCCCCAAAAUACCAACCACAUAUACCAUACACGCAUAACAUGCCACAACAUAUCUGAUCACAGAACAGCCAUGCACUUCGGGUCUACUGUGUGACUGGUCCGCCGCACCGGCCUACAGUCCACCUGGUCCACCCUCUGAGUCUAGCCAUAAACCUCGAGUCUACAGUGUGAUUGGUCCGCCCGCACCGGGCCUUCAAUCCACCUGGUCCACUCUCCGAAUCUAACCACAUACAUCGAGUCUGCAGUGUGAUUGGUCCGCCCGCACCGGGCCUUCAAUCCACCUGGUCCACUCUCUGAGUCUACAGUAUGACUGGUCCGCCCGCACCGGGCCUUCAGUCGGCCUGGUCCACUCUCCGAGCCUCGGCACGUCUGGUCCGCCCUCUUGGGGCCUACAGCCUAUCCUGACCGCUCGCUGGGCCUUCAGGACAACCGGUCCGCCCUGGGUAUCUUGGCCUACAGCACAAAGCAGGACCCGCCUCAACCCAACUCCAGUCCAAACAACCAUGUGCACAUAUACAUACAAUCAUAUAGCAAUUCACAGUCAACAAGCAGAUCAAACAGAUCGCAUAACAUAUCAUCAUCCUAACGAGGAUACCGACCUAACAGGUCACUAGCAUAGCAUCACCCUAUCUCUCAGGAUACCGAUCUCAACCAGGUCUCUAACAUAUACCAUCCUAGCUCUCAGGAUGCAAACAUAUCAAAGCAAUAACAUAACAACAACUACCCGGAUCUCAAUCCGAUAAGGGUCGGCCUUGGUGCCUUAGACCUUGUUGAUAUAGUGAGGAUAACUCACCUCGAUACUGCCGACUGAACAGAUAACCCAAGCUGCUCCGACCACUGAUACGAUCUCCACCACUGGACAACCACCAAGGCACUCAAAAGAACGCCCCAACUGCAAUGGAACUCGAAUCCAAGCAAAGCCCCUUGCUCCAAGCCUCCUACCCUUCAAGAUUUCCUCAACAAUUGCUUCUCCAAGCUCCCAAAUGCAACUUGAUCCACUCACAUACGAAGGUUAGGGUUUCUGGACUUGAGGAUGAGUAAAGAGGCUGGUGAAU
rnacentral:lncRNA from 1 species